rnacentral:rRNA from 1 species
CAGCCGCCGCGGUAAUACGAAGGGUGUAAGCGUUAAUCGGAAUUACUGGGCGUAAAGCGUGCGUAGGCGGUUUGUUAAGUCUGUUGUGAAAUCCCCGGGCUCAACCUGGGAAUGGCAAUGGAUACUGGCAAGCUAGAGUGUGUCAGAGGAUGGUGGAAUUCCCGGUGUAGCGGUGAAAUGCGUAGAGAUCGGGAGGAACAUCAGUGGCGAAGGCGGCCAUCUGGGACAACACUGACGCUGAGGCACGAAAGCGUGGGGAGCAAACAGGAUUAGAUACCCCCGUAGUCCCUGUCUCUUAUAC